GCAAGUCGAGCGCUUUCCUUCGGGAAGGAGCGGCGGGCGGGUUAAUGACGCGUGGGCAUAUACCCUUCACUAUGGAAUAGCCUCGGGAAACUGAGAGUAAUACCAUAUACGCCCUUCGGGGGAAAGAUUUAUCGGUGAAGGAUUAGCCCGCGUUAGAUUAGAUAGUUGGUGGGGUAAUGGCCUACCAAGUCUACGAUCUAUAGCUGGUUUGAGAGGAUGAUC
rnacentral:rRNA from 1 species